rnacentral:tRNA from 1 species
GGGAUUGUGGCUCAGUGGUAGAGUGCUUGCCUAGCAUGUGUGAGGCACUGGGUUCGAAUCUCAGCACCA